AGUGCCCUUAUAAAAGAGACCCCAGGAAGAUCCUUCCCUUCUUCCUUCACGUGAAGACACAGUGAGAAGACAGCCGUCUGUGAGGAAGCUGGUCUUAACCCAACACUGAAUCCCCUGACAUCUUGACCUCAGACUUUCCAGCCUCCAGAACUGUGAAAACAAAACCACUUCCGUUGCUCGGACCAGUCUAUUUUGGAGAACUCCGGUUUCCACAGGUACACCCUUUAGUCUCCAUCAGACAGUCCCAAAGAUGUAGCUUGUCUCCUAGUCUGGAUGAAAUACAGCUCAGAUCUUGGAAGUACGGACUGGACUGCUGAGGACAGACAGAACUCUAGAAGAAGCACUCUAAUUCUGGCUCAGAUGGUGAGCUGGAGGUGCUGAGAGCUUCAAGUCAGAGGGGAAGUCAAAUACUCGGCCACCCUCUAACUCUCUAUUUAUACUUUCUGCGAGAAACUUCCCAACUGAUAGUCCGACCGCCUUCCAAACGCCAAUGGGCAUGAAAUAUGGUUUUCCCCUAAGUCCCUCUUCAGAACUGGAUCUCUCUCCCCUUCGGGGACUGCAGGGUCUCGUCUAAGCUCAAGGAAUAUUUUUCUCAUCAUCAUUUAUGGAAAGCAGCACUACUGUCACUUCUACUCCAGGUGGUUGGGUGAAAUGGUAGCGCAAGUGGGGAAGAAUAAACCACAAUAUCUGCCAUUUCUCAUUCAUUCAUCCAAACCUAUUUAUCCCCAAGACCAAGACUGCUUCUUUCUAGUAUAAGACCUUGUUACAGACUAAGCCGACUGGUAAUACAAUUGGUUUUACAAGCUAAGCAAUUCCAACCGUAUUGAAAUCAUUCCCCUGAAAUGCUUUCUUUCCCAUUCAACACUGCUUGUUUACGUGGUGUCGGAUCAGAUGGAAGAAAGAAGAACAAGGUGAUUCAUGAUUUUCUUCCAAGGAGACAGCUGCAACAUAAACGAUGUCUCAGGAAACAGAAUAAUCUGUUUGUGUGGCCACAACUCUGUGAACUCUGACCUGUCUUAAUCUUCAGGGGUGGAUAUGUGUGUCACU